AAGCGGUGGAGCAUGUGGUUUAAUUCGAAGCAACGCGAAGAACCUUACCAGGUCUUGACAUCCUUUUGAAUGGUCUAGAGAUAGAUCAGGCCUUCGGGACAGAAGAGACAGGUGGUGCAUGGUUGUCGUCAGCUCGUGUCGUGAGAUGUUGGGUUAAGUCCCGCAACGAGCGCAACCCUUAUCAUUAGUUGCUAACAUUCAGUUGAGAACUCUAAUGAGACUGCCAGUGAUAAACUGGAGGAAGUGGGGAUGACGUCAAAUCAUCAUGCCCCUUAUGACCUGGGCUACACACGUGCUACAAUGGCCGGUACAAAGAGUUGCGAAACUGUGAAGUUAAGCUAAUCUCAUAAAGCCGGUCUCAGUUCGGAUUGUAGUCUGCAACUCGACUACAUGAAGUUGGAAUCGCUAGUAAUCGUGGAUCAGCCAAGCCGCGGUGAAUACGUUCCCGGGCCUU
rnacentral:rRNA from 1 species